rnacentral:rRNA from 1 species
GACGAACGCUGGCGGCGUGCCUAAUACAUGCAAGUAGAACGCUGAAGCUUGGUGCUUGCCCCGAGCGGAUGAGUUGCGAACGGGUGAGUAACGCGUAGGUAACCUGCCUGGUAGCGGGGGAUAACUAUUGGAAACGAUAGCUAAUACCGCAUAAGAGUAGAUGUUGCAUGACAUUUGCUUAAAAGGUGCAAUUGCAUCACUACCAGAUGGACCUGCGUUGUAUUAGCUAGUUGGUGAGGUAACGGCUCACCAAGGCAACGAUACAUAGCCGACCUGAGAGGGUGAUCGGCCACACUGGGACUGAGACACGGCCCAGACUCCUACGGGAGGCAGCAGUAGGGAAUCUUCGGCAAUGGACGGAAGUCUGACCGAGCAACGCCGCGUGAGUGAAGAAGGUUUUCGGAUCGUAAAGCUCUGUUGUAAGAGAAGAACGAGUGUGAGAGUGGAAAGUGCACACUGUGACGGUAUCUUACCAGAAAGGGACGGCUAACUACGU